UACGUAGGGGGCAAGCGUUGUCCGGAUUUAUUGGGCGUAAAGAGCGUGUAGGCGGUUCGGUAGGUCCGUUGUGAAAACUCGAGGCUCAACCUCGAGACGCCGAUGGAAACCCUCGAAACUAGAGUCCGGAAGAGGAGAGUGGAAUUCCCGGGUGUAGCGGUGAAAUGCGCAGAUAAUCGGGAAGAACACCCGUGGCGAAGGCGGCUCUCUGGGACGGUACUGACGC
rnacentral:rRNA from 1 species